CAACAUUUGGCAGGACUUCCCCAGUGCUCAGAUUCCUGGGCCCCAGAGGUGGUUUCAAUCUCACAAAGUUCUGUCAAGGGUGAAAAGCAUGAUGCGAGUAACUGCCAGGCCAUGCCCUCUUGGUAUGGUGAUGGAGACGAGUGACAGCUGGCCCAUCCUUGUCAUCGGAGUCUGCGGAGCAUUGGAAGGGACAGUCACAAUGGGGAGCGGCAGGUCACAAUGGGGGAGGCGCCGCCAGGACGCAGCCGGCCGGGCCUGCACUUUCCCAGGAAGGGCAACCCCGGUGCCUGUCCCCGAGAGCCCAGCAGCCCGGCCCUUGGUCGGAGGAGCAAAGCCGGGAGAGCCGCCGAGGGCGACGCGCUGGAAGCUGGCACUCACCGAAGUUGGUGGAGCUGCCACGCCGACCGCCGGAUGGGACACGAUGGAGUCGUCGAUGCAAGUUCUGUGUAAAUGAUGCCAGAGUGAAGCACCAGGAUUCAUUAAACCGGGCAGAGUUUCUCAUUAAACGUGUAGAUUGACAGUCAGAACUAACUGUCAUUUGCAGCUUCCUGAGAGUCCCCCCUACCCAAUAAUAGGUAUAUAUACAUUUGCAAAGCUGAUAUUAUAUUUAGAAUAAAAUAGCGAAAUUGGGACUGUUUGGUGGCUGG
rnacentral:lncRNA from 1 species